AAACUAGCACCUCAAGUGGUCAGGAGGAUUAUUGGGCCUAAAGCAUCCGUAGCCUGUUCUAUAAGUUUCCGGUUAAAUCCAUUAGCUCAACUAAUGGGCCGCCGAAAAUACUGUAGAACUAGGGAGUGGGAGAGGUAGACGGUAUUCGGUAGGAAGGGGUAAAAUCCUUUGAUCUAUUGAGGACCACCUGUGGCGAAGGCGGUCUACCAGAACACGUUCGACGGUGAGGGAUGAAAGCUGGGGGAGCAAACCGGAUUAGAAACCCGGGUAGUCC
rnacentral:rRNA from 1 species